UGGGGAAUUUUGGACAAUGGGCGAAAGCCUGACGCAGCGACGCCGCGUGAGUGAUGAAGGCCUUCGGGUUGUAAAGCUCUGUGGGGAGAGAAGAAUAAGUCGUAGUGAAUAUCUACGAUGAUGACGGUAUCUCCUUAGCAAGCACCGGCUAACUCUGUGCCAGCAGCCGCGGUAAGACAGAGGGUGCAAACGUUGUUCGGAAUUACUGGGCGUAAAGCGUGUGUAGGCGGUGAGGUAAGUCAGGUGUGAAAUCCCACGGCUCAACCAUGGAAGUGCACUUGAUACUGCUUCGCUUGAGUACUGGAGAGGUUGGUGGAAUUCUUGGUGUAGAGGUGAAAUUCGUAGAUAUCAAGAGGAACACCGGUGGCGAAGGCGGCCAACUGGACAGAUACUGACGCUGAGACACGAAAGCGCGGGGAGCAAACA
rnacentral:rRNA from 1 species